rnacentral:rRNA from 1 species
AAGUUAGCGGGGACUUCGGUCCCAGCGGCGGACGGGUGAGUAACACGUAGGGAUCUACCUUCUGGUGGGGCAUAGCCGGGGGAAACCCCGAUUAAUACCGCAUGUGGCCUACGGGUCAAAGCCUUCGGGCGCCAGAAGAUGAGCCUGCGGCCGAUUAUUUAAUCCUAGUUGGUGGGGUAACGGCCUACCAAGGGUACGAUCGGUAGCUGGUCUGAGAGGACGAUCAGCCACACUGGAACUGAGACACGGUCCAGACUCCUACGGGAGGCAGCAGUGGGGAAUAUUGCGCAAUGGGCGAAAGCCUGACGCAGCCAACCCGCGUGGGUGAUGAAGGCCUUCGGGUCGUAAAGCCCUGUCGUGAGGGAAGAAACCUGACGGUACCUCACAAGAAAGCACCGGCUAACCCCGUGCCAGCAGCCGCGGUAAUACGGGGGGUGCAAGCGUUGCUCGGAAUCACUGGGCGUAAAGCGUCCGCAGGCGGCUUGACAAGUCGGGUGUGAAAGCCCGGGGCUCAACCCCGGAACUGCAUUCGAAACUGUCU